UUUAUUUUACCGCCGGGUAAUAUAAAACCGCCAGACUUUCUAUCGAUAGGCCUUUGAAGAUAGAAAGAUCUGGCUGUUUUUAUU
rnacentral:ncRNA from 1 species